UACGGAGGGUGCAAGCGUUAUCCGGAUUCACUGGGUUUAAAGGGAGCGUAGGUGGGGUGGUAAGUCAGUGGUGAAAUCUCCGGGCCUAACUCGGAAACUGCCGUUGAUACUAUCAUUCUUGAAUAUUGUGGAGGUAAGCGGAAUAUGUCAUGUAGCGGUGAAAUGCUUAGAUAUGACAUAGAACACCGAUAGCGAAGGCAGCUUGCUACACAAUUAUUGACACUGAGGCUCGAAAGCGUGGGGAUCAAACAGG
rnacentral:rRNA from 1 species